UUAUCCGGGUUGCGGACAGUGUCUGGUGGGUAGUUUGACUGGGGCGGUCUCCUCCUAAAGAGUAACGGAGGAGCACGAAGGUUGGCUAAUCCUGGUCGGACAUCAGGAGGUUAGUGCAAUGGCAUAAGCCAGCUUGACUGCGAGCGUGACGGCGCGAGCAGGUGCGAAAGCAGGUCAUAGUGAUCCGGUGGUUCUGAAUGGAAGGGCCAUCGCUCAACGGAUAAAAGGUACUCCGGGGAUAACAGGCUGAUACCGCCCAAGAGUUCAUAUCGACGGCGGUGUUUGGCACCUCGAUGUCGGCUCAUCACAUCCUGGGGCUGAAGUAGGUCCCAAGGGUAUGGCUGUUCGCCAUUUAAAGUGGUACGCGAGCUGGGUUUAGAACGUCGUGAGACAGUUCGGUCCCUAUCUGCCGUGGGCGCUGGAGAACUGAGGGGGGCUGCUCCUAGUACGAGAGGACCGGAGUGGACGCAUCACUGGUGUUCGGG
rnacentral:rRNA from 1 species